rnacentral:rRNA from 1 species
GACGAACGCUGGCGGCGUGCUUAACACAUGCAAGUCGAACGGAAAGGCCCUGCUUUUGUGGGGUGCCCGAGUGGCGGACGGGUGAGUAACACGUGAGUAACCUGCCCUUGACUUUGGGAUAACUUCAGGAAACUGGGGCUAAUACCGGAUAGGAGCUCCUGCUGCAUGGUGGGGGUUGGAAAGUUUCGGCGGUUGGGGAUGGACUCGCGGCUUAUCAGCUUGUUGGUGGGGUAGUGGCUUACCAAGGCUUUGACGGGUAGCCGGCCUGAGAGGGUGACCGGCCACAUUGGGACUGAGCUACGGCCCAGACUCCAACGGGAGGCAGCGGUGGGGAGUAUUACACAAUGGGCGGAAGCCUGAUGCAGCGACGCCGCGUGCGGGAAGACGGCCUGUGGGUUGUAAACCGCUUUCGCCUGUGACGAAGCGUGAGUGACGGUAAUGGGUAAAGAAGCACCGGCUAACUACGUG